rnacentral:rRNA from 1 species
UACAGGGGGGGCAAGCGUUGUUCGGAAUUACUGGGCGUAAAGGGCUCGUAGGCGGCCAACUAAGUCCGACGUGAAAUCCCAAAGCUUAACUUUGGAACUGCGUCGGAUACUGGAUGGCUUGAAUUCGGGAGAGGGAUGCGGAAUUCCAGGUGUAGCGGUGAAAUGCGUAGAUAUCUGGAGGAAUACCGGUGGCGAAGGCGGCAUCCUGGACCGACAUUGACGCUGAGGAGCGAAAGCUAGGGGAGCAAACGGG